CCUACGGGUGGCAGCAGUGGGGAAUAUUGCACAAUGGGCGCAAGCCUGAUGCAGCCAUGCCGCGUGUGUGAAGAAGGCCUUCGGGUUGUAAAGCACUUUCAGCGGGGAGGAAGGCGGUGAGGUUAAUAACCUCAUCGAUUGACGUUACCCGCAGAAGAAGCACCGGCUAACUCCGUGCCAGCAGCCGCGGUAAUACGGAGGGUGCAAGCGUUAAUCGGAAUUACUGGGCGUAAAGCGCACGCAGGCGGUCUGUCAAGUCGGAUGUGAAAUCCCCGGGCUCAACCUGGGAACUGCAUUCGAAACUGGCAGGCUAGAGUCUUGUAGAGGGUGGUAGAAUUCCAGGUGUAGCGGUGAAAUGCGUAGAGAUCUGGAGGAAUACCGGUGGCGAAGGCGGCCCCCUGGACAAAGACUGACGCUCAGGUGCGAAAGCGUGGGGAGCAAACAGGAUUAGAUACCCGUGUAGUC
rnacentral:rRNA from 1 species